rnacentral:rRNA from 1 species
UGAGUAAUGUAUAGGAUCUACCUAGUAGUACGGAAUAAUUGUUGGAAACGGCAACUAAUACCGUAUACGCCCUACGGGGGAAAAAUUUAUUGCUAUUAGAUGAGCCUAUAUUAGAUUAGCUAGUUGGUGGAGUAAUAGCCUACCAAGGCAAUGAUCUAUAGCUGAUCUGAGAGGAUGAUCAGCCACACUGGAACUGAGAUACGGUCCAGACUCCUACGGGAGGCAGCAGUGGGGAAUAUUGGACAAUGGGCGAAAGCCUGAUCCAGCCAUGCCGCAUGAGUGAAGAAGGCCUUUGGGUUGUAAAGCUCUUUUAGUGAGGAAGAUAAUGACGGUACUCACAGAAGAAGUCCUGGCUAACUCCGUGCCAGCAGCCGCGGUAAUACGGAGAGGGCUAGCGUUAUUCGGAAUUAUUGGGCGUAAAGGGCGCGUAGGCGGAUUAGUAAGUUAAAAGUGAAAUCCCAAGGCUCAACCUUGGAAUUGCUUUUAAAACUGCUAAUCUAGAGAUUGAAAGAGGAUAGAGGAAUUCCUAGUGUAGAGGUGAAAUUCGUAAAUAUUAGGAGGAACACCAGUGGCGAAGGCGUCUAUCUGGUUCAAAUCUGACGCUGAGGCGCGAAGGCGUGGGGAGCAAACAGGAUUAGAUACCCUGGUAGUCCACGCUGUAAACGAUGAAUGUUAAAUAUGGGAAGUUUUACUUUCUGUAUUACAGCUAACGCGUUAAACAUUCCGCCUGGGGACUACGGUCGCAAGAUUAAAACUCAAAGGAAUUGACGGGGACCCGCACAAGCGGUGGAGCAUGUGGUUUAAU